rnacentral:rRNA from 1 species
GAUGAACGCUGGCGGCGUGCCUAAUACAUGCACGUCGAGCGAAGCUGGGACGGGUUAGUAACACGUGGAUAACCUCCUAUAAGACUGGGAUAACUUCCGGAAACCGGAGCUAAACCGGCUAAUUAUAGUUGGAUCCGCGUUGCAUAAGCGAGUUGGUAAGGUAACGGCGUACAAGGGCAACGAUGCAUAGCCGACCUGAGCGGGAGAUGGUCCACACUGGAGCUGAGACACGGUCCAGACGCGUACGAGAGACAGCGGUAGGUAAUCUGCCGCAAUGGGCGAAAGCCUGACGGGGCAACGCCGCGUGAUUGAUGAAGGUCUUCGGAUCGUAAGACGCUGUUAUUGGGGAAGCGGUACCUAAUCAGAAAGCCACGGCUAACUACGUGCCAGCAGCCGCGGUAAUUC